rnacentral:rRNA from 1 species
GACGAACGCUGGCGGCGUGCUUAACACAUGCAAGUCGAACGGAAAGGCCCUGCUUUUGUGGGGUGCUCGAGUGGCGAACGGGUGAGUAACACGUGAGUAACCUGCCCUUGACUUUGGGAUAACUUCAGGAAACUGGGGCUAAUACCGGAUAGGAGCUCCUGCUGCAUGGUGGGGGUUGGAAAGUUUCGGCGGUUGGGGAUGGACUCGCGGCUUAUCAGCUUGUUGGUGGGGUAGUGGCUUACCAAGGCUUUGACGGGUAGCCGGCCUGAGAGGGUGACCGGCCACAUUGGGACUGAGAUACGGACCAGACUCCUACGGGAGGCAGCAGUGGGGAAUAUUGCACAAUGGGCGGACGCCUGAUGCAGCAACGCCGCGUGCGGGAUGCCGGCCUUCGGGUUGUAAACCGCUUUCGCCUGUGACGAAGCGUGAGUGACGGUAAUGGGUAAAGAAGCACCGGCUAACUACGUG